rnacentral:rRNA from 1 species
UACGAAGGGGGCUAGCGUUGCUCGGAAUCACUGGGCGUAAAGCGCACGUAGGCGGAUUGUUAAGUCAGGGGUGAAAUCCUGGAGCUCAACUCCAGAACUGCCUUUGAUACUGGCGAUCUUGAGUCCGGGAGAGGUGAGUGGAACUGCGAGUGUAGAGGUGAAAUUCGUAGAUAUUCGCAAGAACACCAGUGGCGAAGGCGGCUCACUGGCCCGGUACUGACGCUGAGGUGCGACAGCGUGGGGAGCAAACAGG